AGUGAACGCUGGCGGUAGGCCUAACACAUGCAAGUCGAACGGCAGCACAGUAAGAGCUUGCUCUUACGGGUGGCGAGUGGCGGACGGGUGAGGAAUACAUCGGAAUCUACUUUUUCGUGGGGGAUAACGUAGGGAAACUUACGCUAAUACCGCAUACGACCUACGGGUGAAAGCAGGGGAUCUUCGGACCUUGCGCGAUUGAAUGAGCCGAUGUCGGAUUAGCUAGUUGGCGGGGUAAAGGCCCACCAAGGCGACGAUCCGUAGCUGGUCUGAGAGGAUGGUCAGCCACACUGGAACUGAGACACGGUCCAGACUCCUACGGGAGGCAGCAGUGGGGAAUAUUGGACAAUAGGCGCAAGCCUGAUCCAGCCAUACCGCGUGGGUGGAGAAGGCCUUCGGGUUGUAAAGCCCUUUUGUUGGGAAAGAAAAGCAGCAGGUUAAUACCCCGCUGUUCUGACGGUACCCAAAGAAUAAGCACCGGCUAACUUCGUG
rnacentral:rRNA from 1 species